CUCUGACGUUAGCGGCGGACGGGUGAGUAACACGUGGAUAACCUACCUAUAAGACUGGGAUAACUUCGGGAAACCGGAGCUAAUACCGGAUAAUAUAUUGAACCGCAUGGUUCAAUAGUGAAAGACGGUUUUGCUGUCACUUAUAGAUGGAUCCGCGCCGCAUUAGCUAGUUGGUAAGGUAACGGCUUACCAAGGCAACGAUGCGUAGCCGACCUGAGAGGGUGAUCGGCCACACUGGAACUGAGACACGGUCCAGACUCCUACAGGAGGCAGCAGUAGGGAAUCUUCCGCAAUGGGCGAAAGCCUGACGGAGCAACGCCGCGUGAGUGAUGAAGGUCUUCGGAUCGUAAAACUCUGUUAUUAGGGAAGAACAAAUGUGUAAGUAACUAUGCACGUCUUGACGGUACCUAAUCAGAAAGCCACGGCUAACUACGUGCCAGCAGCCGCGGUAAUACGUAGGUGGCAAGCGUUAUCCGGAAUUAUUGGGCGUAAAGCGCGCGUAGGCGGUUUUUUAAGUCUGAUGUGAAAGCCCACGGCUCAACCGUGGAGGGUCAUUGGAAACUGGAAAACUUGAGUGCAGAAGAGGAAAGUGGAAUUCCAUGUGUAGCGGUGAAAUGCGCAGAGAUAUGGAGGAACACCAGUGGCGAAGGCGACUUUCUGGUCUGUAACUGACGCUGAUGUGCGAAAGCGUGGGGAUCAAACAGGAUUAGAUACCCUGGUAGUCCACGCCGUAAACGAUGAGUGCUAAGUGUUAGGGGGUUCCCGCCCCUUAGUGCUGCAGCUAACGCAUUA
rnacentral:rRNA from 1 species